rnacentral:rRNA from 1 species
GAUGAACGCUAGCUACAGGCUUAACACAUGCAAGUCGAGGGGAAACGGGAGGAUAGCUUGCUAUCUUCGCCGUCGACCUGCGCACGGGUGAGUAACGCGUAUCCAACCUGCCAUCCAGCGGAGGAUAGCCUUUCGAAAGAAAGGAUAAUACUCCAUGACCCCCUCAGAGGACAUCUGACGAGGAGCAAAGAUUUAUCGUCGGUUGAUGGGGAUGCGUCUGAUUAGGCAGUUGGCGGGGUAACGGCCCACCAAACCGACGAUCAGUAGGGGUUCUGAGAGGAAGGUCCCCCACAUUGGAACUGAGACACGGUCCAAACUCCUACGGGAGGCAGCAGUGAGGAAUAUUGGUCAAUGGACGUAAGUCUGUACCAGCCAAGUAGUGUGCAGGAUGACGGCCCUAUGGGUUGUAAACUGCUUUUAUGCGGGGGUAAAGUGAGUGACGUGUCAUUCAUUGCAAGUACCGCAAGAAUAAGGACCGGCUAAUUCCGUGCCAGCCGCCGCAGUAA